rnacentral:rRNA from 1 species
GACGAACGCUGGCGGCAUGCCUAAUACAUGCAAGUCGAGCGGAGUUUUGUUGAAAGCUUGCUUUCAACAGGAUUUAGCGGCGGACGGGUGAGUAACACGUAGGCAACCUGCCCCAUAGCCUGGGAUAACUACCGGAAACGGUAGCUAAUACCGGAUAAUUCCUUUUCUCUCCUGGGAAGAGGAUGAAAGACGGAGCAAUCUGUCGCUGAGGGAUGGGCCUGCGGCGCAUUAGCUAGUUGGUGGGGUAACGGCUCACCAAGGCGACGAUGCGUAGCCGACCUGAGAGGGUGAACGGCCACACUGGGACUGAGACACGGCCCAGACUCCUACGGGAGGCAG